AAUAGCGUUCAUCCGCGCCUGUGUUUUCAUUUUUCGAAUGUCGUUCUUCGCUUUUUCUCGAAAAGCUGUGGCCCUAAUAACCCUCUUUCUUAGGUUUUUAGUAGUCGAACGUAAUUUUUGGUGAAGCCUCGUUGGUUUCGUAGAUAUCUCCUUUUUUUUUCAUCUCUCGUGCUCGCAGAUUCUUCCUUGUGCUCUUGCAUGGUGGGCAUAAGUCUUCCCGGG
rnacentral:lncRNA from 1 species